rnacentral:rRNA from 1 species
UACGGAGGGUGCAAGCGUUAUCCGGAUUUAUUGGGUUUAAAGGGUCCGUAGGCGGAUCGUUAAGUCAGUGGUGAAAGCCUACCGCUCAACGGUAGAACUGCCAUUGAUACUGGCGAUCUUGAGUAUGUAUGAAGUUGGCGGAAUGUGUGGUGUAGCGGUGAAAUGCUUAGAUAUCACACAGAACACCGAUUGCGAAGGCAGCUGACUAAUACAUAACUGACGCUGAGGGACGAAAGUGUGGGGAUCAAACAGG